GGAUUCGGGCCUCCGGCCUGGCAAGGGGGACCGCGGGGUCGCCAUGUUCUCCUUGGCGCUGCGGGCCCGGGCGGCAGGCCUCACCGCCUCGUGGGGAAGGCAAAUAAGGAAUUUUCAAAAGACAGCUGUGCAAAAUGGUGCUGGAGGAUCCUUGUUUGUGCACAGAGAUACUCCUGAGAAUAAUCCGGGAACUCCUUUUGAUUUCACACCAGAAAACUAUAAGAGGAUAGAAGCAAUCAUAAAAAACUACCCAGAAGGGCAUAAAGCAGCAGCAGUGCUUCCAGUCCUGGACUCAGCCCAAAGGCAGAAUGGUUGGUUGCCCAUCUCUGCUAUGAACAAGGUUGCAGAAGUUUUACAAGUACCUCCAAUGAGAGUAUAUGAAGUAGCAACUUAUUAUGCAAUGUACAACCGGAAGCCAGUUGGGAAGCACCACAUUCAGGUCUGCACUGUACACCUUGCAUGCUCCGAGACUCUGACAGCGUCCUGGAGGCCAUUCAGAAAAAGCUGGGAAUAAAAGUUGGAGAGACUACACCCGACAAACUUUUCACUCUUAUAGAGGUGGAAUGUUUAGGGGCCUGUGUAAAUGCACCAAUGGUUCAAAUAAAUGACAACUAUUAUGAGGAUCUGACACCUAAAGAUAUUGAAGAAAUUAUUGAUGAGUUGAAAGCUGGCAAAAUUCCCAAACCUGAACCAAGAAGUGGACGUUUCAGUUGUGAGCCAGCAGGAGGUCUUACCUCACUGACGGAACCGCCUAAAGGACCUGGGUUUGGUGUGCAAGCAGGCCUUUAAUUUAUAUUCUGCUGUAAAUAUGUCACUGGAGAAAUAAAACGUGAACCACCAAAA